UAUUGUGUUGGCCAAGACGAUUGUUCAGGUUUUUCCAUAACAUCUUAUAGAAAAUCCCAAAUGAACUUUUUGGCCAACCCA
rnacentral:miRNA from 1 species